GUUAUAGGGUCAAGUGAAUAAGAGCACGUGGUGGAUGCCUUGGCAAUGAUAGGCGACGAAGGACGUGAUAGCCUGCGAUAAGCUUCGGGGAGCUGGCAAAUUAGCUUUGAUCCGGAGAUUUCCGAAUGGGGAAACCCACCUGCAAAGGUAUCGCAUGAUGAAUACAUAGUCAUGCGAGGCGAACCGGGUGAACUGAAACAUCUCAGUAGCUCGAGGAAAAGACAUCAACCGAGAUUCCGAAAGUAGUGGCGAGCGAAAUCGGAAGAGCCUGUUAGUGAUAGCACAAGACAUAACGGAACAGCUUGGAAAGGCUGGCCAUAGCGGGUGAUAGCCCCGUACGUGAAAUGACCUGUGUGGUACUGAGCUAACGACAAGUAGGGCGGGACACGAGAAAUCCUGUCUGAAUAUGGGGGGACCAUCCUCCAAGGCUAAAUACUCAUCAUUGACCGAUAGUGAACUAGUACCGUGAGGGAAAGGCGAAAAGAACCCCGGGAGGGGAGUGAAAUAGAUCCUGAAACCGCGUGCUUACAAAAAGUAGGAGCCUCGUAAGGGGUGACUGCGUACCUUUUGUAUAAUGGGUCAGCGACUUACAUUCAGUGGCAAGGUUAACCGAAUAGGGAAGCCGUAGAGAAAUCGAGUCCGAAUAGGGCGAUCAGUCGCUGGGUGUAGACCCGAAACCAAGUGAUCUAUCCAUGGCCAGGAUGAAGGUGCCGUAACAGGUACUGGAGGUCCGAACCGACUAGUGUUGCAAAACUAGCGGAUGAGCUGUGGAUAGGGGUGAAAGGCUAAACAAACUUGGAAAUAGCUGGUUCUCUCCGAAAACUAUUUAGGUAGUGCCUCAAGUAUUACCAUCGGGGGUAGAGCACUGUUUUGGCUAGGGGGUCAUGGCGACUUACCAAACCAAGGCAAACUCCGAAUACCGAUGAGUACAGCUUGGGAGACAGAGCACCGGGUGCUAACGUCCGGACUCAAGAGGGAAACAACCCAGACCGCCAGCUAAGGUCCCUAAAAUUGGCUAAGUGGGAAACGAAGUGGGAAGGCUAAAACAGUCAGGAUGUUGGCUUAGAAGCAGCCAUCAUUUAAAGAAAGCGUAAUAGCUCACUGAUCGAGUCGUCCUGCGCGGAAGAUGUAACGGGGCUAAGCCAGUUACCGAAGCUGCGGAUUUGCAAUUUAUUGCAAGUGGUAGGAGAGCGUUCUGUAAGCCUGUGAAGGUGCGUUGUAAAGCGUGCUGGAGGUAUCAGAAGUGCGAAUGCUGACAUGAGUAGCGUUAAAGGGGGUGAAAAGCCCCCUCGCCGUAAGCGCAAGGUUUUCUACGCAACGUUCAUCGGCGUAGAGUGAGUCGGCCCCUAAGGCGAGGCAGAGAUGCGUAGCUGAUGGGAAACAGGUCAAUAUUCCUGUACCGAUUGUUAGUGCGAUGUGGGGACGGAUCUUAAUAGGUCAUCCAGUUAUUGGAUUAUUCUGGUUUAGUUGGAUGUAGGCGUGCAUUAGGCAAAUCCGGUGCACAUAUACCGAGGCCAACGAUCGAGCGGACUUGUCCGUGAAGUGACUGAACGAGGUUCCAGGAAAAGCCACUAAGCUUCAGCUAACAACGACCGUACCGCAAACCGACACUGGUGCGCGAGAUGAGUAUUCUAAGGCGCUUGAGAGAACUCAGGAGAAGGAACUCGGCAAAUUGACACCGUAACUUCGGAAGAAGGUGUGCCCUAUUAGUGUGUAGUGAACAACGAAGCAUGAAUGGGUUGCAAAAAAUCGGUGGCUGCGACUGUUUAUUAAAAACACAGCACUCUGCAAACACGAAAGUGGACGUAUAGGGUGUGACGCCUGCCCGGUGCUGGAAGAUUAAAUGAUGGGGUGCAAGCUCUUGAUUGAAGUCCCAGUAAACGGCGGCCGUAACUAUAACGGUCCUAAGGUAGCGAAAUUCCUUGUCGGGUAAGUUCCGACCUGCACGAAUGGCGUAACGAUGGCCACACUGUCUCCUCCUGAGACUCAGCGAAGUUGAAAUGUUUGUGAUGAUGCAAUCUCCCCGCGGAAAGACGGAAAGACCCCAUGAACCUUUACUGUAGCUUUGUAUUGGACUUUGAACAGAUCUGUGUAGGAUAGGUGGGAGGCUUUGAAGCAGGGUCGCUAGAUCUUGUGGAGCCAACGUUGAAAUACCACCCUGGUGUGUUUGAGGUUCUAACCUAGGUCCAUUAUCUGGAUCGGGGACAGUGCAUGGUAGGCAGUUUGACUGGGGCGGUCUCCUCCCAAAGCGUAACGGAGGAGUUCGAAGGUACGCUAGUUACGGUCGGACAUCGUGACGAUAGUGCAAUGGCAUAAGCGUGCUUAACUGCGAGACUGACAAGUCGAGCAGAUGCGAAAGGACAUAGUGAUCCGGUGGUUCUGUAUGGAAGGGCCAUCGCUCAACGGAUAAAAGGUACUCUGGGGAUAACAGGCUGAUACCGCCCAAGAGUUCAUAUCGACGGCGGUGUUUGGCACCUCGAUGUCGGCUCAUCUCAUCCUGGGGCUGUAGCCGGUCCCAAGGGUAUGGCUGUUCGCCAUUUAAAGAGGUACGUGAGCUGGGUUUAAAACGUCGUGAGACAGUUUGGUCCCUAUCUUCCGUGGGCGCUGCAGAUUUGAGGAAGCCUGCUCCUAGUACGAGAGGACCGGAGUGGACACACCUCUGGUGUAUCGGUUGUCACGCCAGUGGCAUUGCCGAGUAGCUAAGUGUGGAAGAGAUAACCGCUGAAAGCAUCUAAGCGGGAAACUCGUUUCAAGAUGAGAUCUGCCGGGGCCUUGAGCCCCCUAAAGAGUCGUUCAAGACCAGGACGUUGAUAGGUCAGGUGUGGAAGCGCAGUAAUGCGUUAAGCUAACUGAUACUAAUUGCUCGUGCGGCUUGACCCUAUAACUUUG
rnacentral:rRNA from 1 species